UACAGAGGAGCCAAGCGUUGUCCGGAUUGACUGGGCGUAAAGCGCACGCAGGCGGAUGCGCGCGUGGGGUGUGAAAUCUGGCCGCUUAACGGCCAGGCGCCAUCCCAUACGGCGCGUCUGGAGCUAUGCAGAGGUCGGUGGAAUUGCCGGUGUAGUGGUGAAAUGCGCAGAUAUCAGGAGGAACACCGGUGGCGAAGGCGGGUCUCUGGGCCGAUAUUGACGCUGAGGAGCGAAAGCGUGGGGAGCGAACAGG
rnacentral:rRNA from 1 species